rnacentral:rRNA from 1 species
GCAUAUCAAUAAGCGGAGGAAAAGAAACCAACAGGGAUUGCCCUAGUAACGGCGAGUGAAGCGGCAACAGCUCAAAUUUGAAAUCUGGCGUCUUUGGCGUCCGAGUUGUAAUUUGCAGAGGGCGCUUUGGCAUUGGCAGCGGUCCAAGUUCCUUGGAACAGGACGUCACAGAGGGUGAGAAUCCCGUACGUGGUCGCUAGCCUUUACCGUGUAAAGCCCCUUCGACGAGUCGAGUUGUUUGGGAAUGCAGCUCUAAAUGGGAGGUAAAUUUCUUCUAAAGCUAAAUACUGGCCAGAGACCGAUAGCGCACAAGUAGAGUGAUCGAAAGAUGAAAAGCACUUUGGAAAGAGAGUUAAAAAGCACGUGAAAUUGUUGAAAGGGAAGCGCUUGCAGCCAGACUUGCCUGUAGUUGCUCAUCCGGGUUUUUACCCGGUGCACUCUUCUAUAGGCAGGCCAGCAUCAGUUUGGGCGGUUGGAUAAAGGUCUCUGUCACGUACCUCCUUUCGGGGAGAACUUAUAGGGGAGACGUAAUGCAACCAGCCUGGACUGAGGUCCGCGCAUCUGCUAGGAUG